UAAGAGCUAAUACACCAUUCUCUGGUGAACUGCAGCUGCGGCCGAAUUUGAUUGUGUGCAUCAUCCUGCAGAUAUUUUUAAAUUUUGUGGACGCUUCUGCUGUGCUGCGUUCCUGCUCCGCCUGUGUAUUGCUCCGCCCGUGUUUUGUAGUGUUGCGUCCCUGUUGCGCCUUUGCAUUAGUGUGUGCGUUGUGCUUUAGACAGGUUGAAGUAAGUUGAAACCAGGUUUUUGUUUGUUAAAAACCUAAAAAGCCAUUUAUUUGCAAAUUGUUUGUAUGCUUCUGCUGUGCUGCGUUCCUGCUUCACCCGUGUAUUAGAUUGCUGCCCUCCUGUUAAUAUACACACCGUCGUUUAAAGUACAAAACCGCGUAACUGACAUUUGCUGCUAAAAAUUGGCAACCUCGCAUACGUGGGUUUUCAUUAUCUUGAUACGCGGUUUUGCAUUUUAUUGAUACACGGUUUUGUACUUUAAACGACGAUAUGUAGAUGUAUGUACAUACAUAUAUAUCACAUAUAUUGACUUAGAUAUUUAUAGACAAUGAAUGAUGUGUACAUAAUUUUUUUUAUGUUGAAACUGGAUAUGUAUAUAGUAUGUUAUUAAUAUUAUUCAGUUCAAAAAAGUCCUAUCUCAAAUGAAAAUACUUUGAAAAUGUGCUGAGAUAGGGCGUUUUUGGAUCGCCAGCUGAGAUAGGUGGUUUUAACCGAGUUUUGAGAUAGGGCAUAUUUCAAUCAAAUUCUAAAAUAGGGCGUUUUCCAGCCAAAUUUUGAAAUGGGGCGUUGAAAAGUUUACUGAUAUCGAGCGUAUCGACCUGGCUGCCGAGAUAGGUCGAUAUUCCACUCAGCCAUCGAUAUAUAGUCGCAUUUUUCGGUAUAUGAAAGACGAUUAAACACGAUUUGUUUUUAUAUC